rnacentral:rRNA from 1 species
UACAGAGGUCUCAAGCGUUGUUCGGAUUCAUUGGGCGUAAAGGGUGCGUAGGCGGCGCGGUAAGUCGGGUGUGAAAUCUCGGAGCUUAACUCCGAAACUGCAUUCGAUACUGCCGUGCUUGAGGACUGGAGAGGAGACUGGAAUUUACGGUGUAGCGGUGAAAUGCGUAGAUAUCGUAAGGAAGACCAGUGGCGAAGGCGGGUCUCUGGGCCAUUACUGACGCUGAGGAGCGAAAGCGUGGGGAGCGAACAGG